rnacentral:rRNA from 1 species
UACGAAGGGUGCAAGCGUUACUCGGAAUUACUGGGCGUAAAGCGUGCGCAGGCGGCUUCGCAAGUUCAGACGUGAAAUCCCCGGGCUUAACCUGGGAAUGGCGUUUGAAACUACGGAGCUGGAGUGUGGCAGAGGGAGGUAGAAUUCCACGUGUAGCGGUGAAAUGCGUAGAUAUGUGGAGGAAUACCGAUGGCGAAGGCAGCCUCCUGGGCCAACACUGACGCUCAUGCACGAAAGCGUGGGGGAGCAAACAGG